CGGGUGAGUAAUGUAUGGGGAUCUGCCCGAUAGAGGGGGAUAACUACUGGAAACGGUGGCUAAUACCGCAUAAUCUCUUAGGAGCAAAGCAGGGGACCUUCGGGCCUUGCGCUGUCGGAUGAACCCAUAUGGGAUUAGCUAGUAGGUAAGGUAAUGGCUUACCUAGGCGACGAUCCCUAGCUGGUCUGAGAGGAUGAUCAGCCACACUGGGACUGAGACACGGCCCAGACUCCUACGGGAGGCAGCAGUGGGGAAUAUUGCACAAUGGGCGCAAGCCUGAUGCAGCCAUGCCGCGUGUAUGAAGAAGGCCCU
rnacentral:rRNA from 1 species